CUUAGAAGCCUGCCAGCCCCAGCCUCCUGAAGACUGUGUCCUUCCCAGCUGACUGGGAGUCUUUUCAAGGACAUGGGACCUGACCUAUUGCCCCAGGAGACUGAAGUUCCUCACCAGCAUCCCCUCACCAGUUUAUUUCGCUCUGAACCCCUAGCUCCUAACACAGUCAUGAGUCAUCUGUGGACUUCUCCAAUUCUCUCCUGCUGGGGUGUUCCUCAAGUUCUCCAGCCAGCAGCAGCAAACAACACACAGCUGGCAUCGGCGUGCCCUGGAGCCAUGUACUCUCACCAACUGUGUUCUGGCUAGGUAGGGAAACGGUACUGGGAAUUACCUGAUGAACACCUGGGUUUAUAUGGAGGGAUUUACAAUACAUCUUUGAGGAAUAAAGGUCACUUUUUUUUUUGUUCUUUUUUUGAA
rnacentral:lncRNA from 1 species